CUUGGCUGUGAUGGUAACCGGAGGCUUCAAGGAAUCACCUUUGAUCCUCAUUUGCACCUGCAGAUCUGAACACGACUAUUUGGAACCUUUUCUCUACGUUCUGCUUCCUCUUGGUUCAAUUACGUUUAUUGCUACAGGUUGCUUCUGGACAGCGAUAAUAGUGACAGCCAAGCGUCAGGGUCGGGUGACAGCCACACGAGACGGCGCCGUUGAGAACGAGAGUAGCGUCGGCAGCUGUGCCCGCCCGAGGUGUCCCUGUCACAGCGAAGUUGAGCUUGUGACCAUAGCCAGGAGCUCCUCGCCUUUCUGUCCGCGAUGCGCUACAAAAGGCUGGUGGGCCACGUCGCCUAAGCCACAGAAUCGUACGCAGGCUUUAUUGUCCUCAGUCGGUCAGUGGACGGUUCCCCUAGUGAUGGGGGUUUCAAACAUGGACGCCUCGAAAGAGAAAACAAACCCUCCUCCUCCUCUGUCUUCUGAGCACCAUCUGUCCAUCACUUACACAGGAGAGAUGUCGACUUCGCCCUGCCCGUCCCCUGGACCAAAUUCUGUGGGAAACCACGAGGACACUUUCACCUUGGGGGGUAUCUACAUCGGCUCACUGGAGUCUCACAUCAGGACGCACCAAGCUUUCUGCAGCGGACUCAAUAUCCGUAGCCAAGGAUCCCAGACGGGUGAGACGGAAGUGAGUCCACCUGUCAUUGAAUGGCGAUUGAAUACCUCUCAUUCCUCUGAAAAAUUGAAAAAGCCCUCGCUGACUCAUGCAGAAGUCCAGUGCAACCCCAAGGAUUUCGUUGAUGCGUCCCAGGAUCAGCAGGCAGUGCACUACAUGUUGCAGUUGGCGGGAGAAGUCUGCGUCCGCGACGCAAGAACUCGAUUGGCAGG